rnacentral:rRNA from 1 species
UACAGAGGGCUCAAGCGUUGUUCGGAUUCAUUGGGCGUAAAGGGUGCGUAGGUGGCGGGGUAAGUCAGGUGUGAAAUCUCGGAGCUCAACUCCGAAACUGCACUUGAUACUGCCUUGCUCGAGUACUGGAGAGGAGAUUGGAAUUUACGGUGUAGCAGUGAAAUGCGUAGAUAUCGUAAGGAAGACCAGUGGCGAAGGCGAAUCUCUGGACAGUUACUGACACUGAGGCACGAAGGCCAGGGGAGCAAACAGG